rnacentral:rRNA from 1 species
GACGAACGCUGGCGGCGUGCUUAACACAUGCAAGUCGAACGAAGUGGCGAACGGGGGAGUAACGCGUAAUCAACCUGCCCUUCCGAGGGGGACAACAGUUGGAAACGACUGCUAAUACCGCAUACUGAAGGUGGGGAUUGCGUCUGGUGAGCUGGUUGGAGGGGUAACGGCCCACCAAGGCGAUGAUCAGUAGCCGGUCCGAGAGGAUGAACGGCCACAUUGGGACUGAGACACGGCCCAGACUCCUACGGGAGGCAGCAGUGGGGAAUCUUCCGCAAUGGACGGAAGUCUGGCUGAGUAACGCCGCGGGAGUGAUGACGGCCGUCGGGUUGUAAAGCUCUGUUAAUCGGGACGCGGUACCGGAAUAGAAAGCCACGGCUAACUUCGUGCCAGCAGCCGCGGUAAUUC